UCUCUUGGAUUUCAGAUCAGUUGAGAAGAUGGAGCAAUGGUACAACAAGCUUUAUGAAAAAAUUUACACUGCCGUUCUCGACUACCUGGACACCAUCCUAGAGGAGGCAGAACGCAACUGUGAGUCUGAGGAACCUGAUCAGGGGUCUGUGAGUUCCAGGACGGAAGAAACCACAGAGCCACCUGAAGGUGAGUGUCAG